rnacentral:rRNA from 1 species
GAUGAACGCUGGCGGCGUGCCUAAUACAUGCCAGUCGAGCGAACAGACGAGGAGCUUGCUCCUCUGACGUUAGCGGCGGACGGGUGAGUAACACGUGGAUAACCUACCUAUAAGACUGGGAUAACUUCGGGAAACCGGAGCUAAUACCGGAUAAUAUAUUGAACCGCAUGGUUCAAUAGUGAAAGACGGUUUUGCUGUCACUUAUAGAUGGAUCCGCGCCGCAUUAGCUAGUUGGUAAGGUAACGGCUUACCAAGGCAACGAUGCGUAGCCGACCAGAGAGGGUGAUCGGCCACACUGGAACUGAGACACGGUCCAGACUCCUACGGGAGGCAGCAGUAGGGAAUCUUCCGCAAUGGGCGAAAGCUUGACGGAGCAACGCCGCGUGAGUGAUGAAGGUCUUCGGAUCGUAAAACUCUGUUAUUAGGGAAGAACAAAUGUGUAAGUAACUAUGCACGUCUUGACGGUACCUAAUCAGAAAGCCACGGCUAACUACGUG